GAUGAACGCUGGCGGCGUGCCUAAUACAUGCAAGUCGAGCGAACAGAUGAGGAGCUUGCUCCUCUGACGUUAGCAGCGGACGGGUGAGUAACACGUGGAUAACCUACCUAUAAGACUGGGAUAACUUCGGGAAACCGGAGCUAAUACCGGAUAAUAUAUUGAACCGCAUGGUUCAAUAGUGAAAGACGGUUUUGCUGUCACUUAUAGAUGGAUCCGCGCCGCAUUAGCUAGUUGGUAAGGUAACGGCUUACCAAGGCAACGAUGCGUAGCCGACCUGAGAGGGUGAUCGGCCACACUGGAACUGAGACACGGUCCAGACUCCUACGGGAGGCAGCAGUAGGGAAUCUUCCGCAAAGGGCGAAAGCCUGACGGAGCAACGCCGCGUGAGUGAUGAAGGUCUUCGGAUCGUAAAACUCUGUUAUUAGGGAAGAACAAAUGUGUAAGUAACUAUGCACGUCUUGACGGUACCUAAUCAGAAAGCCCCGGCUAACUACGUG
rnacentral:rRNA from 1 species